GGUUCUGCAACUCUCCACUUUCUGGCAGCCAGAUACAUGACCCAUCCCGAGCCUUUGGGCAGAGAGAGGCAGAGAUGAUGGCAACCAGCCAAGGAAAUGCUUUCUUCUCAGCAAAUUGAACACUUCAUGUCUGGGAACCUGCCAGCAAUUAUCAAAGACACAAAAAGGAAACCAGGAAACAUCUCUUGAGACUAAAUCAUCUGCUGCAGACUCUGGCCGGCGACACAGAGGUGGAAGAUUAUGCUCCUCUUCUUCUGCAUCCAUGCUGUCACUAAAUCAACCCAGCUUAAACUGCU